rnacentral:lncRNA from 1 species
GGCUAAAAUCACUUAUUUUUUUGGCUUUUUGACCCCAUAUUGUAGGGUGGAUCUCGAAAGAUAGGAAAGAUCUCCCUCCAAGCCGUACAUACGACUUUCAUCGAAUACGGCUUUCCACAGAAUUCUAUAGGGAUCUAUGAGAUCGAGUAUGGAAUUCUGUUUACUCACUUUAAAUUGAGUAUCCGUUUCCGUCCUUUUCCCGCUAGGAUCGGAAAUCCUGUAUUUUCCAUAUCCAUACGAUUGAGUCCUUAGGUUUCCGAAAUAGUGUAAUGGAAAAAGAAGUGCUUCGAAUCAUUGCUAUUUGACUCGGACCUGUUCUGAAAAAGUCGAGGUAUUUCGAAUUGUUUAUUGACACGGACAAAGUAAGGGAAAACCUCUGAAAGAAUUUCCAUAUUGACCUAUAAUUGUCUAAAAAGGGCCAAUAUACAUACACUAUUGGACCUUUUGAGUAAGACUGAAGAAGAUCUUCUGAGAAUUGACAGUUUUCGUAUGGAAGAUAGAAAACAUAUAUGGGACACUCUAGAGAAGCAUCUCCCAAUUGAUUUACUUAAGAAUAAACUCUCGUUUUAAAUCCAUUGCAAUUUUUUUUUUCUUCUUUUUCGAGUUAGAAUAAAAAGAAAACAAUUUAGCAUCUUUGGUACAAUCUAUAUUUUCGCGAAAUGGAUCAUAAUAAAAUGGAUUUUAGGUAUCUAGGGAAGAUUCACUUGGAAGUAACUAUUUCCUAGAUACCUAUGGUACUUCACGGUUGAAUGAAUCAAAAAAUAUCUAAAAAAGACCUAAAAUUAAUGAUUUAUCAAUGGGUAAUGUUGCUCCAAUACCUAACCAAAGAGCUACUACAGUACCGAUUAAAAAAAGGUCGUAGCUACUGGGCGGCGAAAUGGAUUUUGGAAUUUAUUGACAUUCUCUAGAAAAGGUAUUGCAAACGGAUCUGCCGGUUCACCAAUCAUUGAUGGCUCGAGAACCGCUAAACCUACAUUACAUGCAAUAGUACCUAGAAUUACUACUGGAAAAAUAUAUAAAAGAUCGUUGGGCCGUGCGGGUUCCCCGUAAUAAUUAUGUCCCAUCCCUUUAGCUAAUUUAGCUCUUAAUACAGGAUCAUUUAAGUCUGGUUUCUUUGUUAUUGGGAUAGGUGAACUCUUUAGGAUCCAUCCCCCAAAGGAACCGGACAUGAGAAUUUAUCAUCAUCCGGCUCGAGCAAGAGUGAAAGAAAUAAGACCGCGGAAGAUCCUUAAUAGAAUUAAGGUUUAUAAUGACUCAAUGACUCUAGGCAAGAAAAGCUUUAUCAGAUUCUCUUUUCCGAAGUUGCACCUACAACUACUCAUUGAAAAUAAUCCUAUUCUUAUGGGUAAAUGCUCAAUAUCCAAGUGGGCUUACAAAUUUGAUCAUGAUCAAUUGCUUUGUGGAUUGUCUCAUGUCUCUUGAUUAGUUGGUAUUUAUCCCCUCAAUAUCGCAAGUUUCUUACCUCCAAACAAAAUAUUUACUUGUUACUAAUAAAAAAUCAAAAAGUUUAGCCUACAUUCUUCCUUAGAUCCCUUCUUUUACUCCGAUAGUAUUGCGGAUCACAAUCGAUGCAAAGAAAAUGAAUGCAUUUCCAUACUAUAAUAAAAAGGUAAGUGUAAUAAAUAGAGAACUGGAUCAUGUCACAUGACUUAUUCCAUUUCUACUCUAUGGGAUCUUACGGAGCCUGUUCAUGGAUGACAUGGUUGCGAUAUGAUCAUAGAAGAUAUUCUCCUCAAGUGAACCAGCCUAUCCUUCCUAGGUAGGGGACUUACAUGUUGAUUGGAUGCGGAGACACCUUUGGUUGUGAAUUCUAAUGUGGCAGAUCCAAUUCUUUAUCUGCAUGGCCAAAUCAAUAAUUCAAGUCACACACUCCCAUAAUCCGCCUUUUUUCUUUCGUAAAAUUAACUUCAACUAUUUGUAUUGUAUAAAAAUACUUUGGAGUUGAAGAGAAGUAUCCAAAUGACAUGUGUUAUUUUACAAUAACCCAUGCUUGUAGCAAUGAAAUACCAAAACCUACCCGAUAUGAUAUAUGAUAAUUAUAAUUCUCUAUGAUAUGCCUUCCCUAUAAAGGACCCGAAAUACCUUGCUUACGUAUCAUUGGAAAGUGCAUUAACAUAAAUUCGGCAGUAAGCAGAGGCAGUACAAAGGUAUGUCAACUAUAAAAACGAGUCAAAGUGGAUUGGCCCACACUAGCACUUCCGCGUAAUAACUCCACUAAAGGCGAUCCUAUUACCGGAAUGGCGUCAGGUACACCUGUCACAAUUUUGACUGCCCAAUAGCCAAUUUGAUCUCAAGGCAAAGAAUAACCAGUUACACCAAAUGAUGCAGUCAAAACAGCCAAAACCACACCUGUGACCCAAGUUAAUUCACGGGGUUUUUAAAAUCCCCCUGUGAGAUACACACGAAAUACAUGCAGGAUUAUCAUUAAAACCAUCAUACUUGCUGACCAUCGAUGAACUAAUUCAUUAACCAACCAAAGGUGGCCUCGGUCAUUAUGUAUUGAACCGAGGAAAAAGCCUCUGUAACGGUUGGUCGGUAGUAAAAAGUCAUAGCAAAACCGGUAGCGACUUGUACUAGAAAACAAGUAAGUGUAAUUCCCCCUAAACAAUAAAAUAUGUUGACAUGGGGAGGAACAUAUUCCCCCUGAAUCUCAAGACGUUCCUCAAACCAAUCAUAUACUUUAUUGAGAUAGGUAACUAACCCGAGUCCCCCUCUAAGAGCCGUAUAUGAAAAUUUCAUCUCGUACGGCUCAAGCAGAAACACAAAAAUUUUCAAUGAAUAUUAGAAAAAAGGUUCAAAACUUCAUCAGCCACUGAAUUGGGUCGAUUUGCCUUGAAGAUAUCAAAUAAGAAAAAUCCGGAAUAUCUUCUUUGUGAUGAUAAUGCCAAAAAAUCUCAAGUUGGCGCGUCUUUCUUUCUUCCUUUCCCUUAUGUUGGUCAUUAGAGACUUCUUGACUUUUCCCUUCCCUAUAAAGGAUUUGUUUUUUUAUGCGUAAUAUAGAAAUUAUCUUGUCGAGAUCCUAUGAAUCAGUUCAAUUAAAACCUUAGAUUCAUACUAGAGCCACAAUGAUUUAGUCUCAAGCUAAACAAAAGGCAAGGGUUCUUCGAAUAAGAACCGCUUGAUAAUCAUUUGUUGAAUCAGUGUAAUGACUCGACAAAAUCGAGAGAAAAAAAGUUGUCUUUUGGGCAAACAAAAUUGGAAGGAAGAAAAUUUCUUUUUUAUUUUUAUUUAAGAACUACUUGAAUUUUUCAGUCUGGUUGCGAGGUCUUAAUAGUGAGUAUGAAUCAUAGUUCCAUUUUUUUUAUCCACUCUAUCUAUUUCGUGUUCCAGGUACUAGAAUAAAUAAUAUCCGACGAAUUAGAAUCAUCUUGGUAGAGAUAACAGGCCCUUUCUAUGAAUUAUCAAUAGGAUCAAUUCUAACAAGUCACACAAUCAUAUUCCAGAGAUACCGAAACAAAAAAAUUCUGCGGUCGAACUACCAUAAUAUCUAGAAAUGUAGAUCUUAAACUAGAAAGGCUUUUUUGGAUGGAAUAACUCUGACUUCCUAGUUUUAGUUAGUAGAAACAUAAUUGGUUAAAAUUCCAUCCAGUAAAACGGAAGAAUUAUAAAUUUCUAAAAUGAUAGAUAGGAAUAUAGCGAAUAAAGCCAUUGCGAUCCCCAUAAAAGGAGUAGUCCCCCAACCCGGGGCGACUUUCCCAUAUUCCGAAUUCAAGGGUUUCAGUAAACUACCUGCACCAGUUCGUUUUGGCCUAGGUUUAGAACUAUCUUCAACGGUUUGUGUAGCCAUAAAUUCUAUUUAAUCAUUGGUGUUGACUUUGUAUACUAUUCCGUUGUAGUUGUAAAUACACGAUCUUUUCGUAGAUCCAUUGUAAUCUUGAAAUUCUAAAAAAAUGGAAACAACAACUUUAGUCGCCAUCUCCAUAUCUGGUUUACUUUUAAGCUUUACUGGGUAUGCCUUAUAUACCGCGUUUGGGCAACCCUCUCAACAAUUAAGAGUUCCAUUCGAAGAACACGGAGACUAAUUUAAGUAAGAAGUCCCCUAGAUAGGGGGACUACUUACUUAAAUGAAAUUAUUUUAUUCUUUUAGUUGGAGUUGGUGGAACCUUAGGUGGUUCUCGGAAGAAGAUAGCGAAAAAAAAUUAUCCCUAAAGUCGAAACUAAAAGGAACGUAUAAACCAAUGCUUCCAUAGAUUCGAUCCUGGUUUAUUUACAAUUAUAACUUCCACACCUAUUCAUUUGUCAUUUGGGAGAAUUUCCCAUAUAAAGAAAGAAAAAGAGUCAAAGAAAGGAUGGGAGAUGUUUCCCAUGUCAAAUCAAAAAAGAGAGGGAAAGAUACUAUAACAAUGUGUAUCAGACUGCCUGUUUCCUUGUAGUUGGAUCUCCCACUUUUUGGAAUGUUCCAAAUUCCACUUGAGCAUCCAAAUCUGGAUCAAUACCAGCAAAAACAUCUCGGAACAAUGUUCUAGCACCAUGCCAAAUGUGUCCGAAAAAGAAGAGCAAAGCAAAGGUAGCAUGACCAAAAGUGAACCAACCCCUUGGACUGCUGCGAAAAACACCAUCAGAUUUCAAAGUAGCCCGGUCUAAUUCAAAAAUUUCCCCUAAUUGAGAACGCCUCGCAUAUUUUUUAUAGUAGCAGGAUCAGAAUAACUUACUCCAUUAAGUUCGCCACCAUAGAACUCCACCGUUACACCUACUUGUUCAACACUAUAUUUGGAUUCUGCUCUUCUAAAAGGAACGUCUGCUCUAACAAUUCCCUCCUCAUGUACCAAAACAACCGGAAAUGUUUCAAAAAAAGUAGGCAUACGGCGUACAAAAAGCUCACGUCCUUAUUUAUCUCUAAAGACGGGAUGUCCUAACCAUCCAACAGCUAUUCCAUCCCCAUUGUCCAUUGAGCCUGCUCUGAAUAAUCCCCCUUUUGCCGGAUUAUUACCAAUAUAAUCAUAAAAGGCUAAUUUUUCGGGAAUUUUAGACCAAGCUUCUGAUAAACUAAGAUUUUCGGCUAAACCAUUGCUAACUCUUCGAUAUAUUUCUUGCUGAAAGUAUCCCUGAUCCCACUGAUAACGAGUAGGCCCAAAUAAUUCGAUUGGGGUCGUUGCUGACCCAUACCACAUAGUUCCAGCAACUACGAAAGCUGCAAAAAAACAGCAGCGAUACUACUGGAAAGUACAGUUUCAAUAUUGCCCAUACGUAAUCCUUUAUAUAGACGUUGAGGCGGACGGACACUAAGAUGGAAUUAGCCCGCUAAUAUACCCAAUGUACCCGCAACAAUAUGAUGAGAAGCUAUUCCCCCCGAAACAAAAGGAUCAAAACCUUCUGCACCCCACGCUGGAUUUACAGCUUGUAUUUUUCCAGUUAGUCCAUAAGGAUCGGAUACCCAUAUCCUAGGACCAUACAAACCCGUUACAUGAAAUGCCCCAAAGCCAAAGCAAGCCACCCCUGCAAGAAAUAAAUGAAUUCCAAAGAUCUUGGGCAAAUCCAAAGAGGGUUUUCCCGUCCGCUCAUCAGAGAAUAUUUCUAGGUCCCAAUAUACCCAAUGCCAGAUCGCUGACAAGAAACACAAGCCAGAAAACACAAUAUGCGUACCUGCCACACCUUCAUAACUCCAAAUACCCGGAUUUGUUACAGUUCCUCCUGAAAUACUCCAACCACCCCACGAAUCCGUUAUUCCUAAACGAGUCAUGAAGGGAAUUACGAACAUACCUUGUCUCCACAUUGGAUCCAGAACAGGAUCAGAGGGAUCAAAAACUGCUAAUUCGUAUAAAGCCAUUGAGCCAGCCCAACCAGAAACUAGAGCUGUGUGCAUUAUAUGCACCGCAAGCAAUCGACCCGGAUCAUUCAAUACGACAGUAUGAACACGAUACCAAGGCAAACCCAUGGAAAUACCCCUUUAGCAAAGAAAAUAGACACGAUGUCGCUUUAUUUUAUCGCAUUGAAAAAGACUAUCCAUAUCCUAUGUACCUAACCCUUCUAGGGGAUUCUGUGUCAGAAAGCGCGAAUAUUUAUUUCAUUCCAUUAAAAAUAAGAAGCCAAUUCUGUUCAUAAGAAGAAAGAGAAGCAGAUCUAUUCUAUACUCGAUAAGUGCCAAUAUGCAAUGGGUAACUUGGCCAAUUUGGAAAAAACGAAGAAUAGAUCGCUACCCCUCUUUGUUUAGCAUUCGAAUCACCCAUUCCUUUUUCUUUAUUCAAUCUGUCUUACAUUCCUUAUAUGUAUAACCUUUCAAUCUACGUAUUAAUAGAAUCUAUAGUAUUCAUAUAGAAUAAGAAUAAAAAUUAAGAUAAUAAACUGCGGAUUCUUUCUUUCUGUUCCAUUCUUACGUUUCCAUAUUAAAGUGUGGUUUUCUUACUUAAAUUUAAUAAUAUUAAUCUGAUAUGCCCAUUGGUGUUCCAAAAGUACCUUACCGGAUUCCUGGAGAUGAAGAAGCGACUUGGGUUGACUUAUACAAUGUUAUGUAUCGAGAAAGGACACUUUUUCGAUCAAGAGAUUCGUUGCGAGAUCACGAAUCAUAUUACAGGUCUCAUGGUAUAUCUGAGUAUAGAAGAUGGAAUUAGUGAUAUAUUUUUGUUUAUAAACUCCCCAGGCGGGUGGCUAAUCUCAGGAAUGGCUAUUUUUGAUACGAUGCAAACGGUGACACCAGAUAUAUAUACAAUAUGCCUCGGAAUAGCCGCCUCCACGGCGUCCUUCAUUCUGCUUGGAGGAGAACCCACCAAGCGUAUAGCAUUCCCUCACGCGAGGAUUAUGCUUCACCAACCUGCUAGUGCUUAUUAUCGGGCAAGGACACCAGAGUUUUUACUAGAAGUAGAAGAGUUACACAAAGUUCGCGAAAUGAUCACAAGGGUUUAUGCAGUAAGAACAGGCAAGCCUUUUUGGGUUGUAUCCGAAGACAUGGAAAGGGAUGUUUUUAUGUCAGCAGACGAAGCCAAAGCUUAUGGACUUGUCGAUAUUGUAGGGGAUGAAAUGAUUGACAAGCACUGCGAUACUGAUCUAGUGUGGUUUCCAGAAAUGUUUAAGGAUUGGUAGUGUCCGGAUUUCUUGUAAAGUUAUUUCACAGCUAAAUUCGUGUUUUCCUUGAUUUAAUAGAAAAUAGAAAGACUUCAUGAUGAGCAAUCAUCAGGUUAAGAUGGAUCUAAACCAAUCCAUUUUUUUCUAUAGACAUACAACAUGCCGACGGUUAAACAACUUAUUAGAAACGCAAGACAGCCAAUACGAAAUGCUCAAAAAACGGCCGCGCUUAAAGGAUGCCCUCAGCGUCGAGGAACAUGUGCUAGGGUGUAUGUGCGACUCGUUCAGAUCAUGACUUCAAACAAAUAUAAAAAAAAUUGAAGUAUCCAUGAUUAGUACCAAUGAAUAGGAUAUAGCUUCUCUAUCCUAGAUUUCUAUGGUAUAUGGAAUUUAUGGUUUCCUUUGGUGCAAAUCCAAUUAUCUAAAUUGGAAAUAAGAAGCAAUUCUCCCAUUGGUAGCAAAUGGUUAUCCAUUAAGCGGAGGAAAUAGUAAUAAAAAGAAAUAGGCUUAUGCUCCUUUAUCUUAAAACAACGGACUAACAGGGUCAGCUACUUAGCCAACUUUCAUAAUUAAAUACCAUCACUGUAUGGAUAACUCUUAUUGUGAAAAGAGCUAUUUACACUAUAAUGGAUAGGUAGAGCCAAAGAAUGUGGACUAUACAAGUUCGCAAUACCUUUUGAUGAAAGAAAGGGCUCCGGUGUAUAGAGAGGGCCUCACCGUUUAAAAGGGAACCAUAGAAACGAUGGAACCCACUAUUUUUUUAGUAUUAUUAGAAUGAAUUCGUUAUUUCGUAUAGAAAUAACUGAACGAAGUGGAAUAAAAAAUCAUGGUUGGGAAGGUUACUAUAGCAAAAGCCAUUGGAAUUAAUAUUUUAUAUAUCGGAAUAAUUAGUUUUGUUAUUAACGAGAAAAGGGUGGCUAAAAGAAGAGAAAUCAUUAGUUAUUCAUUAAGGUUAAUUUGAUUCAAUGACCAGAGUUCCGCGAGGAUAUAUAGCCGGAGACGACGAACAAAAAUGCGUUCAUUUGCCUCAAACUUUAGAGGGGCUCAUUUAAGACUUAAUCAAAUGAUUACCCAACAGGUAAAAAGAGCUUUUGUUUCCUCUCAUCGAGAUAGAGGUAGGCAAAAGAGGGAUUUUCGUCGUUUGUGGAUCACUCGGAUAAACGCAGCAACACGGGUAUAUAAAGUAUUCGAUAGUUAUAGUAAAUUAAUACACAACCUGUACAAGAAGAAAUUGAUUCUUAAUCGUAAAAUGCUUGCACAAGUAGCUGUAUCAAAUCCAAAUAAUCUUUACACGAUUUCCAAUAAAAUAAAGAUCAUCAAUUAAAGGUAUAAAUAAAGUAAUAUACUGGAAUAAUAGAAGAUGAAUUCCCAGAGAGGGAACUCCGGGAAGAUACAACAACUUAAGAUUAAGUGGUAGGAAUCAACGAGCUGGAUUACUUUCUUUAUAAUAUAUAUAGGCCGGGCCCUUUCGAAUUCGAAUAAAACAUCAAUAAUCGGAACUUAAGUUCCGGUUGUUGUUUCUUAAAUUUUGGUUGUUGUUUCUUAAGUUUCGAUUGGAAUUGUACUUUUGCGUUAAUUGAGGAAUAUGUCUAUUUUUUCUGGGUCUAGAACCUGUAAUUAUUGAAAUUGACUGGGCUUGAAAUUGCUUUUCGUUCUCAUAGUUACGAAACGGUAAGAAAGAUAAAAUACGAGCCUGUUUUAUAGCAAGAGUAAUUAAUCGUUGUUGUUUCAAGGUUAAUCUAUUUAUUCGUCUCGAUAAUAUUUUUCCUUCUUCACUAAUAAUCUAUUAAUUAAACUCAUGUUUCUAUAUCAAUUCGAUCUCCCGGGCCAAUCCGGGGACGCCUACGAAAAGGUUGUUUAGAUUUACGAAAAGGUUGCUUGAAUUUACGAAAAUUUGCUUGGAUUUACGAAAGGGUUGCUUGGAUUUAUUAAAAGUUUGCUUGGAUUUACUAAAGGGUUGCUUUGAUUUAAGAAAAGGUUGUUUAGAUGUAUACAUGAUUUAUUCCUUAUUUAAAAUUUGAAAAUUUGAAAAUUCACUUCUUUAUUUUAUUAAUUUAGGAUCCAGAAGAAGUAGUUUUUCUUUGAUCCAUAUCUUAUUUGAUUCAUAUUAUAGUAUAUGAAUACCCUCUAUACAUAUGAAAUAAUAUCUACCGGAAAUCAGAUGAGUUGAUUUGUAUUUUGUAUUCUAUACUAUGUUUUCUUUAUAUAUUAAAUAUGAAGUUCUUACUCUUUCUGUUGUUUGGAAAGAUCGAACACACGAUGUUCCUAUUUCUUUAUUUCAUGAUGAGUCGUAUGCUUGCGACAAUAACGACAAAAAUUUUUGAAUUCUAAUUGUCCGGGUGUAUUGUGGCGAUUCUUUUGAGUACUAUAUCUAGAAAUCCCCGUCGAUUCCUCAUUGGCACCUUUUCGAACACAACUAAUGCAUUCCAAAAUAACUCUGAUUCUAACAUCUUUUCCCUUGGCCAUGAACCUCCUUUUGUUUUCGGAUUGACUUAACUUAAUUCUUCUACUUAUUCUUUUAUUCUUCUAUUUUGAAUCCGAAGAAGAAGAAUAAAAUUCAUUAGAAUAAUUUUUUUAUUCUUAAAUUAAGUAAUAAAAAAUAGAGAAAUAAUUAAAGAAUACAAUCCUUGUCGAAUUAGCAAAGAUUUUGGUUCGAAAUCCUUUCAUUUAAUUAGCCAGCCCCGCCUUUUCUAUGCUCUGAUUUCUGAGGUCUUAUUUAGCUUGGGUACCCCUUUAAAUUGAAUUUCUAUUUUCAAAAAUGGGGUUUACCAAAUUUUUAAUGACUCUGAGGUUCAAUCCAAUCCAUCUUUUCUUUCUUUUUCCUUCCGAUACUAAAAAAAGAUUGAAAAGGAUCAAAUUUUGUCAUAUCACGAAGAAAUCUAUCCCUCCCAUAGCAAUAACUAGAAUUAAAAAAAAGGGAAUGACAAAGCAUUUGGGAAUAAACGAUUAAUUUCUAUCAAUAAACCUGCUAAAGCACCAAACCAUAGAGUACUUAGCACGGGUGCUACAGAGAGAUAUGUUUUUAUAUCCCGCAUUGAAAAUCCUCCUUCCUUGUUGGAAUACAUAUAUGAUCAUAAACUCUUGCCCAAGAUUGUUAUGCUAUAUAUAAAAUGAACCAUAUUGACGAAAUUUUCCUAUCCCUAAAAAAGAAAAAGAUGACCCCUUCUUCCUAUAUAUUAGCAAGGAAAAGUAAUCCUUCCUUUAUAGGCGAAAUUAUAUUGGAUUUUAUAUGUAUAUAAUUCCUUAAUUAUAUGAGACCAAAAAGAAGAAAUGACACGAGGGUUCUAUAUAUAGAUAGAGAAAGAAAGAAGAAGAAAAUAGAAAGAAGAAGAAAAUUAUGAUGUGGAAAAGAAGACAGGAAUUGAGUACAAUGGCAUUGUACAACAAUUUAAUUUGGAAAAGGGAUGUAGCGCAGCUUGGUAGCGCGUUUGUUUUGGGUACAAAAUGUCACAGGUUCAAAUCCUGUCAUCCCUACCUAUUACUUCUUUCUUCUUUAUAGGCAGUAGCGACGAGAUCAAUUAAAGUAAAGUGGGUAUAACUUGAAUUUGUGGAGACUAUACGUACGUGAGAUACAUUAGGAAUAGAAAAAUAUUUUCUUUUUGAAUGAAUGAAAGUGCUCUUAGUUCAGUUCGGUAGAACGCGGGUCUCCAAAACCCGAUGUCGUAGGUUCGAAUCCUGCAGAGCGUGAUUCCAUCUAUUUUAUGUCGAAGCAGAGUAAAAUAACUUAACAAAAUUGAAUUGUAACUCCAAUUUCAAUUUGACCUCCUCCCUGGUCUGGAGGAGGUCAAUAAAAAAAAUGACUCAAUCAAAGAUCCAACUGAUCCCCACGCCUGUAUUGCAAAUACGCAGUCACGAAUAAUCCCGCUAAAGUAAUAGGAAUUAGGCCUAAGACGAUUCCAAAUAGAAAAACUUCAAUCAUUUCGAUUUGUUCGAGGGGAUAAAGAAAGAGGUACGAUCUAUCCCUAAAUAGUACUCUAAAUUAUCCACGAAUCUCAAUGACCAAGAAAAGAAUUCCUAAUUAGUCUGGAAAAGAGUCGUAGAAUGCCAGGAAUCCCAAAGAAAGAUUUUUCUUUUCUGAAUUAUAAUUAUUCAGUCAAUGCAAAUAAGGCGUAUCUUGUUCAAGCCAAUAAAUAGAGCUGGGGUUAUAGUUAAAGCAGCCAGUAGAAAACCAAAAUAACUAGUUAAAGUAAGCAUGAAAGAGUUAAAUUCCAUUUUUUUACUACACUACAUAUGUUGGUAAAGCAUUUACCUAAGUUAUGGAAAAUUCAUAAUUCAUCAGUUAUUUUAGAUAAUACUAAAAACAAGGUAGAGUAAGAUACAGAAGUGUAAAAGAAAGUGGAUUCAUCAGAUGAUACAUGAGUCCCUAAUUCCGAAUCAAGAGAUUUGUUGUGGAAUUUGUCAAUUGAGUAAAUUAAUAAUAUUAAGAACUAGAUCAUCUAACCCCAUUGAAUUUCAUUUUUUCAUUCAAUUUUCAGGGAAAUUUUUGAAUAAGAGAUAAAUAAACAAUUCAAUUUGAAAAAAAACUUCUUUCUAUUUUGGAUAAUUUCUUUUUCAAUAGGACCCUCUUUUUGGAGUGAACGAUCGAAUAUUCCCCUAUUCCUUCUUAUUUUAACUGAUUGUAUUCCAUAUGGAAUAAGAGGAGAACAAAAGCAUUCCACGACCUGCCAAGGGGCUGUUAAAAAAACUCUUCCUUGAAUUUACUUUAUUUUUAUAUCUUUUUCGAACUCCAACCAAAGUAGAUUCGAAGACGAGUCACUUCAAUUAUCCUUUUAAGUUCUAUUCUAUCUUCUGCCUUUCCCUAUUUCAUCUCGUAAAGUUCUGCGCUCGCAGUUUGGUCAGGAAAGUUAGACCUAAUCCAACAAACAAUACAAGGAUGAAUUACGAAUUAUGAAAGGAUAGAUUUCACAUAUACUUGUCCUUGUAUUGUGUCAGUAUGAGAAUAUCCUUCCUAAAUUAUUUAUCCAAACCUAUUGAUCAUUAACUUAGAUUUUCCCAAGAUUUUGGCUGCUAUUCCGAAUUACUCUAUUAUUCCGAAGCCAAUGAAAAGUAAGUAGAACCUACAAAAAUGGGGUUUUCUAUUGAUGCCUUGAAUAACAUAUAGCUUACAAGGAUGAAAUAUCAGUAAUUUUCUAUUUACUGGUCGAUCCCAUCUUUUACGGAAUCAAUUCCUUUUUUGAAUGUACAAAAAUUUUGGGAGUUCAGCAUGUCUGGAAGCACGGGAGAAUGUUCUUUUGCUGAUAUUAUUACCAGUAUUCGAUACUGGGUUAUUCAUAGCAUUACUAUACCUUCCCUAUUCAUUGCGGGUUGGUUAUUUGUCAGUACGGGUUUAGCUUAUGACGUGUUUGGAAGUCCUAGGCCAAACGAGUAUUUCACGGAAAGCCGACAAGGAAUUCCGUUAAUAACCGACCGUUUUGAUUCUUUAGAACAACUCGAUGAAUUUAGUAGAUGCUUUUAGGAGGCCCUCAAUGACCAUAGAUCGAACCUAUCCUAUUUUUACAGUGCGAUGGCUGGCUAUUCACGGACUAGCUGUACCUACUGGUUUUUUCUUGGGAUCAAUAUCAGCAAUGCAGUUCAUCCAACGAUAAAACAAAUUCCAACUAUAGAACUAUGACACAAUCAAACCCGAAUGAACAAAAUGUUGAAUUGAAUCGUACCAGUCUAUACUGGGGUUUAUUACUCAUUUUUGUACUUGCUGUUUUAAUUUCCAAUUACUUCUUCAAUUGAGAGAAAGAAAGAGACUAAUAAGAAUUCUCUUAUCCCAUUUGGAAGGAUACCAUCCUUAUAACUACCCAUGACUGUUUUUGUCUCUAGCAUGACCAAUUGAUAAAAUGUGGAGGAAAGUAGGGGAAAUGGCCGAUACUACUGGAAGAAUUCCUCUUUGGCUGAUAGGUACUGUAGCUGGUAUUGCUGUGAUUGGUUUGGUAGGUGUUUUCUUUUAUGGUUCAUAUUCUAGAUUGGGUUCAUCUCUAUAGUAAUCGGAGGGACCAGAUUGUAAACAUGAAAAAGUAGGAGCUUAGCGGGUCCUUACCCCCCUUUAUCUGAUUAGAGCGGAAAGGACCCGCGGAAUUUUUACUCUUAUAACGCGAAUUGAAUCUAUUCGAUUCACUCUUAUGAAGCAACAUGAAAAAGAGAUCACUCGAGGAUCCAAUAUCUUAUUCCACGAAGGAAGUAUCCUGAAAAUCCUUGAUUUAGUUUCGACUAAUAAACUAAUAAAACCUUAAUCAAAACUAUUCAACUAUUCAACUAGUUCCCGGUAAGAAAUAUAGUAAAUUUGAAGUUGAACUUAAUUAAACAAGCCAAGCAAUUUGCUCACAAUCACAAGAAAUUUUUCCCCCGCCAUAUUUUCUUCCCCUCUGUUUGUCCACUACCUCGGCUAAACCUAAGCAAAAGAAAAAGAGGUCCAAGAGACAGACCCGAAUAAAGAAGAAAUAGUAAUCUUUGACAAAUUAGGAAGAAAAAGGAUUCUUAUUUUGACAAGAAGAAUCGGCACAAGAAAAAGGCUUUUUCUUGUGCCGAAUAGACGAUUAAGAAGACCUGCAAUCCCUCCGAAAAGGAAGAAAUUUUAAUUUUAUUGUUCUCGCCUUUGCCUUGGAUUCUCUUCUUUUACAUGGGAUAUAAAUAAGGAAUUCCAGACAUCUCAUAAACAAAAAGCAGUCUAAACAAAAAAAGGAUUUCCAAAAUAGAUCAUAGAUAAUUCUAGCAAUUGCCAAUAAAUCGAGGCUUUUUACCAACUUGAUGGUAAGAAAUCCCGGGACCUAGAAAUGCAUUUCGUACAAUUGAACCUUUUCAAACUGUUUCUUUUUGAGAACCAAAAAAACUUGUGCCAAAAUAACGGAUGCGAAGAAGAACAAAAGGCCUUGGACACGUAAUGGAUCCUGAAGCAUGAUUUCUGCGUCCCCCUGACCAAAACCUCCCACAUUAGGAUUGCUUGUUAAUGGUUGAUCAAGCUUGAUGGAUUCCCCCUCUGAAACAAGAAGUUCUAGUCCGGGAGGUAUAAUAACAAUCACUUGGCGUCCAUCUGCUGCAUCAACUAUGGAUAUUUCAUACCCCCCCUUUUCUUUACGUAGUAUUUUUCUUACUAUACCUGUUGAUGUAGCAUUAUAGACUGUAUUGUUACUCUUGCUACCAUCAGGAUAGAUCUGUCCUCUUCCUCGGUUUCCCCCUACAUAUAUGGGAUAUUUUAAGAAAUGAGCAUCUUUCUUCGUAGCAGGAUCAGGGGAAAGAAUGGGAAAGACAAUUUCACUAUAUUUCUUACCGGGAACAGGGCCUAUCACAAGAAUGUUUUUUUUAUCGGGACGAUAACUCUGAAAAGCAAGAUUUCCUAUCUUUUCCUUUAACUCAGGGGAAAUACGAUCGGGCAGCGCUAAUUCGAAUCCCUCGGGCAAAAUAAGAACAACACCUACAUUCAACCAUCCCUUUUUCCAUUAGCAAGAACUUGUUUCAAUUGCAUAUCAUAAGGAAUUCGAAGAACUGCUUCAAAUACAGUAUCGGGAAGCACAGCUUGGGGAACUUCAAUAUCGACGGGCUUGCUAGCUAAAUGGCAAUUGGCACAUACAAUUCGUCCAGUUGCUUCUCGUGGGUUUUCAUAACCCUGCUGCACAAAAAUGGGAUAUGCAUUUGAAAUAGAUGUCCGAGUUAUUACGUAUAUCAUGAUCGAUACAGAAAUCGAUCGAGUUAUCUGUUCCUUUACCCAAGAAAAAGUAUUUCUAUUUUCCAUGUCCAAUCGCAGAUCCCAGAAUUUCUACAAUAAAUUAGAUAGGUAUCUAAUCUAAUCUAGUUCCCUAUACAUGAAUCUGUUGUCAUUCUACUGCAACAGUUGUACUGCAAUGAUGAAUACCUUAAAGUAGGUAUAAAUAGAAAGAAUUUUGCUAAAAUGGAAAAGGGCUUUCUUUCUAAAAAAAUAUGCUUGCUAAUUUGAUUAAUAUUAAUAUCGGGAGAUCAAAUGAAUUUAUGCUUCACUAAUUGAAUGAUAAAUGACUACAAGCGAAGGAGAUAGACGAUUUAAACAAAAAAAGACCCAAAAUUUCAAACAUGUAUCUAGAAUUACUGGAAAACUACAAACAAAAAUAGUGAAAAUAAGCUCGUUAGGAGCCCAUCCAAAAUCGUUGUAGACCCAACGAAUUACUAGUUCCCAACCACGGGUGGAGUGAAAUCCAACAAAAAAAUCAGUAACUAAAAGAAUAAAAAAAACUUUUAUUGAGUCAUUUAAAUUAUAGAAGAAUUCCUGAACCCAAGAAUUCAAAAUGACAAGUUCCUCUUUACCCAGAAAAAAAGAACCACUUAGAAUAGCCAAACAGAUUAUAUUUUUCGAGAAAUGCAAAAUGGUAUGGAGAUGAUCCUCAUUAUUUAUUUUGACCCAUUGUAUUAUUUCCUUGUGUAUUCCUGUAGGAGGUUUUUGUACAUGUGUCUUUAGUUUCCCUUUUAUCAUCUCGUCCAAGAGAGAAAGUUCUUCUAAUUCUAUGAAUCUUUCUAGAAUCCUUUUCUCUUGAAUAUCAGUUAAGAGAGUUUCGGAUUGCCUGGUAUUCCACCAAUUCUUAAUCCAAAGUUCCAAACGUUUGUUAAAUGAGGAAGAGACCCCCAAGGAAAAAGUACAAUAAAUACAAGAUAUAGUAAAGAAGGCAAUGCUUUAUUUUUUUUCAUUUUUGAUCCGUAAAUGGAGUUGUUAAUGAAUAUGCUUCAUUCGCUGACUCUAUUCCAUUCCCUGACUCUAUAUGAUGAUAUUUCUAUUUCAUGAUAUUUCUAUUUCUUUGAAGCAAAAACUAUAUAGGUUUGAUACCCUGUAUCUAUUCUUCUUUUUUGUAUAUUAGUUAGUAGUGGAAUUUCAGUGCAUUGGGUUCUUUCUUAGAUCUAGAUGGUAUGAAAUAGUGAAAUAGAAUAAAAAAAGCCCUUUCGGAUGAAAAAAGAAGAAUAGUAUGCAAUAUAUCUCACUUGGAUAAAAAAAAUUAAAAGCAAAUUUCUCUUAUCCUCGUUUGUUCCUUCCUUUAGAUAAAUACUUCAAAAUCCCCUUACAAUAACAAAUCCAAUUUACAAGGGACUUCCUCCCCGUGUUGAGAAAACUUUUCUUCGUCCAAUUCUUCUUUUCUUCAUUCAACUCAGUUCAAAAAAGAUACCUCAAAAUACUUCAAUUGGUACGCGCAAGAAAUAGGCCAAUUCGGCAGCUUUUUGUUCAAUUUCUCGUGGAGUAAAAAAUUUAUCAUCAGUACGAGUCAAGGGAAUGAUCCCCUGGCCCCGGAUUUCCAUAUAAAGAAUACGACGAGGAUAAAUACCCUCUUUAACCUGAAUUCUAAUUGAUUGGAUAUCCCGCAUAAGGAAUCGAAGGAAGACGCGACGUUUUAUUCCAGGGAAUCCCCAACGAAAAAUGCACACUAUUCCCUCUUUUCUAUCGAAUCGGUCAUAACCACUACCUACAUUCCACAAAAUAGUACACCACAAGUAGGAGCUAAUGAAUAGGCCUGCGAUUCCGUAGAAAGACAUCACGACCCCCUGCGGAAAAAAAAGAAUUUCUUGAGAUGGAAGUAUAGAUAUAAUAUUCUUACCAAGAUAACUGGAAAUCCCAACCGAUAAGAAUCCUAGUGAACCUAGAAAAAGCAUACAGGCCCAGAAAAAAUUACCCCUUUUUCGAGAACCUUUUAGAAGUUCUACCCAUAUGUGUUCUGAUCGCCAAUUCAUAUUAGAUAUACUAAAUCCAGCAGCGGUCGAUUGAAAUUGAGAGAAUAAGCUAAAUAAUUUUGACUUUACUUUUUUUGAUUCUGAAAUCGCCUUCAGCAACUAGUACUCCUGUGAAAUAAUAGGUUAGAUACAUUGACUUUCUAUUCAAAAAAUAUUCGUUGAUUCAAUUAAAAUAAAUAAAAUAAAACUCGCUAUACCUGGCUCUGCAUAUUCAUGCAUUUAUGCUCGUAGCCUAUAUCCGCAUCCAUAACCGUUUUUCAUUUGUGUGUAGAAAGUGUGUGUAGAAAAAGCCACAUACCCUACCAUAUUAUAUUACUUACACUAAAAAAUACAAUACAAUAGUCAAUAUUCCUUAUAAUAGAUAUACUUAAUUAUAUCAUAAGAAUCUUAAGAUAUUUUUCGACUAGAUAGAAAUAGUAAAUUUGAAUUGAGACACCUAUUCCAUGACGGAUUUAAACUUACCUUCUAUUUUCGUGCCUUUAGUAGGCUUAGUAUUUCCGGCAAUUGCAAUGACUUCUUUAUUUCUUUAUGUGCAAAAAAAUAAGAUUGUCUAGUAUUUUUUAGUGUAUGUAAUAUAAUAUGGUAGGGUAUGUGGCUUUUUCUACACACACUUUCUACACACAAAUGAAAAACGGUUAUGGAUGCGGAUAUAGGCUACGAGCAUAAAUGCAUGAAUAUGCAGAGCCAGGUAUAGCGAGUUUUAUUUUAUUUAUUUUAAUUGAAUCAACGAAUAUUUUUUGAAUAGAAAGUCAAUGUAUCUAACCUAUUAUUUCACAGGAGUACUAGUUGCUGAAGGCGAUUUCAGAAUCAAAAAAAGUAAAGUCAAAAUUAUUUAGCUUAUUCUCUCAAUUUCAAUCGACCGCUGCUGGAUUUAGUAUAUCUAAUAUGAAUUGGCGAUCAGAACACAUAUGGGUAGAACUUCUAAAAGGUUCUCGAAAAAGGGGUAAUUUUUUCUGGGCCUGUAUUCUUUUUCUAGGUUCACUAGGAUUCUUAUCGGUUUGGAUUUCCAGUUAUCUUGGUAAGAAUAUUAUAUCUAUACUUCCAUCUCAAGAAAUUCUUUUUUUUCCGCAGGGGGUCGUGAUGUCUUUCUACGGAAUCGCAGGCCUAUUCAUUAGCUCCUACUUGUGGUGUACUAUUUUGUGGAAUGUAGGUAGUGGUUAUGACCGAUUCGAUAGAAAAGAGGGAAUAGUGUGCAUUUUUCGUUGGGGAUUCCCUGGAAUAAAACGUCGCGUCUUCCUUCGAUUCCUUAUGCGGGAUAUCCAAUCAAUUAGAAUUCAGGUUAAAGAGGGUCUUUAUCCUCGUCGUAUUCUUUAUAUGGAAAUCCGGGGCCAGGGGAUCAUUCCCUUGACUCGUACUGAUGAUAAAUUUUUUACUCCACGAGAAAUUGAACAAAAAGCUGCCGAAUUGGCCUAUUUCUUGCGCGUACCAAUUGAAGUAUUUUUUUUGAACUGAGUUGAAUGAAGAAAAGAAGAAUUGGAAGAAGAAAAGUUUUCUCAACACGGGGAGGAAGUCCCUUCUAAAUUGGAUUUGUUAUUGUAAGGGGAUUUUUAAGUAUUUAUCUAAAGGAAGGAACAAACGAGGAUAAGAGAAAUUUGCUUUUAAUUUUUUUUUAUCCAAGUGAGAUAUAUCGCAUACUAUUCUUCCUUUUUCAUCCGAAAGGGCUUUUUUUUUAUUCUAUUUCACUAUUUCAUUCCAUCUAGAUCUAAGAAAGAACCCAAUGCACUGAAAUUCCACUAAUAACUAAUAUACAAAAAAGAAGAAUAGAUACAGGGUAUCAAACCUAUAGAGAUUUUGCUUCAAAGAAAUAGAAAUAUCAUCAUAUAGAGUCAGGGAAUGGAAUAGAGUCAGCGAAUGAAGCAUAUUCAUUAACAACUCCAUUUACAGAUCAAAAAUGAAAAAAAAGAAAGCAUUGCCUUCUUUACUAUAUCUUGUAUUUAUCGUACUUUUGCCUUGGGGGGUCUCUUCCUCAUUUAACAAAUGUCUGGAACUUUGGAUUAAGAAUUGGUGGAAUACCAGGCAAUCCGAAACUCUCUUAACUGAUAUUCAAGAGAAAAGGAUUCUAGAAAGAUUCAUAGAAUUAGAAGAACUUUCUCUCUUGGACGAGAUGAUAAAAGGGAAACUAAAGACCCAAAAUUUCAAACAUGUAUCUAGAAUUACUGGAAAACUACAAACAAAAAUAGUGAAAAUAAGCUCGUUAGGAGCCCAUCCAAAAUCGUUGUAGACCCAACGAAUUACUAGUUCCCAACCACGGGUGGAGUGAAAUCCAACAAAAAAAUCAGUAACUAAAAGAAUAAAAAAAGCUUUUAUUGAGUCAUUUAAAUUAUAGAAGAAUUCCUGAACCCAAGAAUUCAAAAUGACAAGUUCCUCUUUACCCAGAAAAAAAGAACCACUUAGAAUAGCCAAACAGAUUAUAUUUGUCGAGAAAUGCAAAAUGGUAUGGAGAUGAUCCUCAUUAUUUAUUUUGACCCAUUGUAUUAUUUCCUUGUGUAUUCCUGUAGGAGGUUUUUGUACAUGUGUCUUUAGUUUCCCUUUUAUCAUCUCGUCCAAGAGAGAAAGUUCUUCUAAUUCUAUGAAUCUUUCUAGAAUCCUUUUCUCUUGAAUAUCAGUUAAGAGAGUUUCGGAUUGCCUGGUAUUCCACCAAUACUUAAUCCAAAGUUCCAGACAUUUGUUAAAUGAGGAAGAGACCCCCCAAGGCAAAAGUACGAUAAAUACAAGAUAUAGUAAAGAAGGCAAUGCUUUCUUUUUUUUCAUUUUUGAUCUGUAAAUGGAGUUGUUAAUGAAUAUGCUUCAUUCGCUGACUCUAUUCCAUUCCCUGACUCUAUAUGAUGAUAUUUCUAUUUCAUGAUAUUUCUAUUUCUUUGAAGCAAAAACUCUAUAGGUUUGAUACCCUGUAUCUAUUCUUCUUUUUUGUAUAUUAGUUAUUAGUGGAAUUUCAGUGCAUUGGGUUCUUUCUUAGAUCUAGAUGGAAUGAAAUAGUGAAAUAGAAUAAAAAAAAAGCCCUUUCGGAUGAAAAAGGAAGAAUAGUAUGCGAUAUAUCUCAAUUGGAUAAAAAAAAAUUAAAAGCAAAUUUCUCUUAUCCUCGUUUGUUCCUUCCUUUAGAUAAAUACUUAAAAAUCCCCUUACAAUAACAAAUCCAAUUUAGAAGGGACUUCCUCCCCGUGUUGAGAAAACUUUUCUUCUUCCAAUUCUUCUUUUCUUCAUUCAACUCAGUUCAAAAAAGAUACCUCAAAAUACUUCAAUUGGUACGCGCAAGAAAUAGGCCAAUUCGGCAGCUUUUUGUUCAAUUUCUCGUGGAGUAAAAAAUUUAUCAUCAGUACGAGUCAAGGGAAUGAUCCCCUGGCCCCGGAUUUCCAUAUAAAGAAUACGACGAGGAUAAAGACCCUCUUUAACCUGAAUUCUAAUUGAUUGGAUAUCCCGCAUAAAGAAUCGAAGGAAGACGCGACGUUUUAUUCCAGGGAAUCCCCAACGAAAAAUGCACACUAUUCCCUCUUUUCUAUCGAAUCGGUCAUAACCACUACCUACAUUCCACAAAAUAGUACACCACAAGUAGGAGCUAAUGAAUAGGCCUGCGAUUCCGUAGAAAGACAUCACGACCCCCUGCGGAAAAAAAAGAAUUUCUUGAGAUGGAAGUAUAGAUAUAAUAUUCUUACCAAGAUAACUGGAAAUCCCAACCGAUAAGAAUCCUAGUGAACCUAGAAAAAGAAUACAGGCCCAGAAAAAAUUACCCCUUUUUCGAGAACCUUUUAGAAGUUCUACCCAUAUGUGUUCUGAUCGCCAAUUCAUAUUAGAUAUACUAAAUCCAGCAGCGGUCGAUUGAAAUUGAGAGAAUAAGCUAAAUAAUUUUGACUUUACUUUUUUUUAUUCUGAAAUCGCCUUCAGCAACUAGUACUCCUGUGAAAUAAUAGGUUAGAUACAUUGACUUUCUAUUCAAAAAAUAUUCGUUGAUUCAAUUAAAAUAAAUAAAAUAAAACUCGCUAUACCUGGCUCUGCAUAUUCAUGCAUUUAUGCUCGUAGCCUGUAUACGCAUCCAUAACCGUUUUUCAUUUGUGUUAGAAAGUGUGUGUAGAAAAAGCCACAUACCCUACCAUAUUAUAUUACUUACACUAAAAAAUACUAGACAAUCUUAUUUUUUUGCACAUAAAGAAAUAAAGAAGUCAUUGCAAUUGCCGGAAAUACUAAGCCUACUAAAGGCACGAAAAUAGAAGGUAAGUUUAAAUCCGUCAUGGAAUAGGUGUCUCAAUUCAAAUUUACUAUUUCUAUCUAGUCAAAAAAUAUCUUAAGAUUCUUAUGAUAUAAUUAAGUAUAUCUAUUAUAAGGAAUAUUGACUAUUGUAUUGUAUUUUUUAUUUUUAGUUUGAAAAAUAUUCUGUAAAAAAAAUGAAAGGAUAAUAAGAAAAUUCCAAAAAAGGAGAACUAAUUAAAAAGAAUUUAUUUUGAUUUUCCCAUCCUCAUGGCCUUUCUAUCUUUCUAAUCUAAUUUGAAAUUGGAUUCAAAAGAAAGCGGUUAGAAUUUACUUCCUGCAUACAUACUUCUCUAGAAGCGCAUACAAUUGAUAAUACUAUAUUUUAUUAUUUUAUUUGUAUUUCUUUAUUGUAUUAUACCUUAAUAUAUAUAUUCUAGAUAUAUAGAAUAGACGAAUCUCGAUUUGUCAAGUCUCAUGAUCAUAUCAUGAUCUAUUUUUAUUCGGCUCAAUCUUUUUUAGAAAAAAAAAGAUUGAGCCGAGUUUAAUUGCAUCAAUUAGAAGAAUAAAGAAGAAUUACUGCAUUUCAUAACUGAUUUUUUUCUCUUUUUAUUUCGUUUCUUUUUUAUUUAUACCUUCUUUAUCUUUAGUUUUAUCUAGUUAAUCAAUAGUAUCUACCGGCUCGAACUCGAAUUUGAUCGCCUUCCAUACUUCACAAGCUGCGGCUAGUUCAGGACUCCAUUUGCAAGCUGCUCGGAUAAUUUCAUUACCUUCGCGAGCAAGAUCAUGCCCUUCGUUACGAGCUUGUACACAGGUUCCAAAGCCACUCGAUUAGUUGCUGCACCAGGUGCAUUUCCCCAAGGAUGUCCUAAAGUUCCUCCACCAAAUUGUAAUACAUAAUCGUCCCCAAAGAUUUCGGUCAGAGCUGGCAUAUGCCAAACAUGAAUACCACCUGAAGCUACCGGUAUAACACCUGGCAUGGAUACCCAGUCCUGAGUGAAAAAGAUACCGCGAGCACGAUCUUUUUCAAUAAAAUCAUCGCGCAAUAAAUCAACAAAACCUAAAGUCAUUUCGCGUUCCCCUUCUAACUUACCUACUACUGUACCAGAGUGGAUAUGAUCUCCCCCAGACAUAUGCAAUGCUUUAGCUAAUACACGGAAAUGCAUACCAUGAUUUUUCUGUCUAUCAAUAAAUGCAUGCAUUGCACGGUGAAUGUGAAGAAGUAGGCCAUUGUCGCGGCAAUAAUGAGCGAAAGUAGUAUUUGCGGUGAAUCCCCCAGUUAAGUAGUCAUGCAUUACAAUAGGAACCCCUAAUUCUCUUGCAAAUACAGCUCUCUUAAUCAUUUCUUCACAUGUACCCGCAGUCGCAUUCAAGUAAUGCCCCUUGAUUUCACCGGUUUCGGCCUGUGAUUUAUAAAUAGCUUUGGCACAAAAGACAAAACGGUCUCUCCAGCGCAUAAAUGGUUGUGAGUUUACGUUUUCAUCAUCUUUGGUAAAAUCAAGUCCACCACGUAGACACUCAUAACACGCUCUACCAUAAUUUUUUGCGGAUAAUCCCAAUUUUGGUUUAAUAGUACAUCCCAAUAAAGGACGACCAUACUUGUUCAACUUAUCUCUUUCAACUUGGAUACCAUGAGGCGGGCCUUGGAAAGUUUUUGAAUAAGUAGGGGGAAUUCGUAGAUCCUCCAAACGUAGAGCACGUAGGGCUUUGAAACCAAAUACGUUACCUACAAUGGAAGUAAACAUGUUAGUAACGGAAGCCUCUUCAAAUAGGUCUAAUGGAUAAGCUACAUAACAGAUCCAUUGGUUGUCUUCCCCAGCAACAGGCUCGAUGUGAUAGCAUCGUCCUUUAUAACGAUAAAGACUGGUAAGUCCAUCAGUCCAAACAGUUGUCCAUGUACCAGUAGAAGAUUCGGCAGCUACUGCAGCCCCUACUUCUUCGGGCGGAACCCCAGGCUGAGGACUUACUCGGAAUGCUGCCGAGAUAUCAGUAUCCUUAGUUUCAUACUCUGGGGUGUAGUAAGUCAAUUUAUAAUCUUCAACACCAGCUUGAAAUCCAACACUUGCUUUAGUUUCUGUUUGUGGUGACAUAAGUCCCUCCCUAUAACUCUUGAAUUAAGAAUUCUCACAAUAACAGGGUCUACUCGAUGUUAAUUAGGCGUAAAUGAAACUUUAGAAAAAAUCUCGUAAAACAAAAAAAGGAUAUUCAAUUAAUAUAAUAUCAACUCAUUAAAGAAAAUUGAGGGCAUGCUUAGGUUAAUGAAUAUGUUUCAUUCAUAUAUAAUGCGUACACCCUGUGUAUGUUCUAUCCUAUAGGAAUUCCACUAUAGGAAUUCGAUAGGAAUUGAGUUGUUGUUAUGGUAAGUUAACACGGUUCGUUAUUAAACCAUGGAUUUGAUUUACCAAAUCCAUAAUUAUUGUAUACUCUUUGAUAGAUAUAGCGCAACCCAAAUUAAUUCCUAAUCCUUAUAUUACAAGUUCUUAAUAGUUCUCUUUUCUUAUUUUGAAUGCAAAUACCUAACUAAAUACUAAUAAAAUUCUUUGUUGACAGCAAUCUAUGCUUCACAGUAGUAUAUAUUUUGUAUAUCGAAGUCCUAGAUAGGAAAGUAGAGUAGGCACAGAUCCUCCACAAAAGGCAAAAUGUAUGUAUAUGAAAAAAAGAUUGAUUGAACUUUCCAACGGACUCAUUCCAUGAGUAAACGGUUGCAUGGGGCAAUGAAAUCAAGUCCUGGUCCCCUUUUCUCUCUUAUAGAAUUAACUAAUUCAUUUCCUUUUUACUUUUGGAUUUUUUUUGAUUUGAUUUGGCAUUAUUCAACAAUAAAAAAAGAAAAAUUUCGACAAAUUCCUUUUUUUAAUUAUGUGAUAAUUAUGAGAACCAAUCCUACUACUUCUCCUCCCGG